rnacentral:rRNA from 1 species
UACGUAGGGUGCGAGCGUUGUCCGGAAUUAUUGGGCGUAAAGGGCUCGUAGGCGGUUUGUCGCGUCGGGAGUGAAAACUCAGGGCUUAACCCUGAGCCUGCUUCCGAUACGGGCAGACUAGAGGUAUGCAGGGGAGAACGGAAUUCCUGGUGUAGCGGUGAAAUGCGCAGAUAUCAGGAGGAACACCGGUGGCGAAGGCGGGUCUCUGGGCCCG